UUUUUAGUACAAUUAUGUCCCAUGAAUGAUUUGGAACACACAUAUACUAAAA
rnacentral:miRNA from 1 species